AGUGAACGCUGGCGGUAGGCCUAACACAUGCAAGUCGAACGGCAGCACAAUAAGAGCUUGCUCUUACGGGUGGCGAGUGGCGGACGGGUGAGGAAUACAUCGGAAUCUACUUUUUCGUGGGGGAUAACGUAGGGAAACUUACGCUAAUACCGCAUACGACCUACGGGUGAAAGCAGGGGAUCUUCGGACCUUGCGCGAUUGAAUGAGCCGAUGUCGGAUUAGCUAGUUGGCGGGGUAAAGGCCCACCAAGGCGACGAUCCGUAGCUGGUCUGAGAGGAUGAUCAGCCACACUGGAACUGAGACACGGUCCAGACUCCUACGGGAGGCAGCAGUGGGGAAUAUUGGACAAAGGGCGCAAGCCUGAUCCAGCCAUACCGCGUGGGUGAAGAAGGCCUUCGGGUUGUAAAGCCCUUUUGUUGGGAAAGAAAAGCAGCAGGUUAAUACCCCGCUGUUCUGACGGUACCCAAAGAAUAAGCACCGGCUAACUUCGUG
rnacentral:rRNA from 1 species